UACGUAGGGUGCAAGCGUUGUCCGGAAUUAUUGGGCGUAAAGAGCUCGUAGGCGGUCUGUCGCGUCGACUGUGAAAACCCGGGGCUCAACCCCGGGCCUGCAUUCGAUACGGGCAGACUAGAGUUCGGUAGGGGAGUCUGGAAUUCCUGGUGUAGCGGUGAAAUGCGCAGAUAUCAGGAGGAACACCGGUGGCGAAGGCGCCACUCUGGGCCGAAACUGACGCUGAGGAGCGAAAGCGUGGGUAGCAAACAGG
rnacentral:rRNA from 1 species